rnacentral:rRNA from 1 species
CCUACGGGUGGCAGCAGUGGGGAAUAUUGCACAAUGGGGGAAACCCUGAUGCAGCGACGCCGCGUGAGUGAAGAAGUAUUUCGGUAUGUAAAGCUCUAUCAGCAGGGAAGAAACCCACCCUCCGGGGUGGCUGACGGUACCUGACUUAGAAGCCCCGGCUAACAACGUGCCCACAGCCGCGGUAAUACGUAGGGGGCAAGCGUUAUCCGGAUUUACUGGGGGUAAAGGGUGCGUAGGUGGCAAGGCAAGACAGAUGUGAACAUCCGGGGCCCAACCCCGGGAGUGCAUUUGAAACCGUCUGGCUAGAGUGCAGGAGAGGUAAGUGGAAUUCCUAGUGUAGCGGUGAAAUGCAUAGAUAUUAGGAGGAACACCAGUGGCGAAGGCGGCUUACUGGACUGUAACUGACACUGAGGCUCGAAAGCGUGGGGAGCAAACAGGAUUAGAUACCCGAGUAGUC